GUGCCAGCCGCCGCGGUAAAACGUAGGUGGCAAGCGUUAUCCGGAUUCACUGGGCGUAAAGCGCGUGCAGGUGGUUUCGUAAGUUGGACGUUAAAUCUCCCGGCCUAACCGGGAGGAGUCGUUCAAUACUGCGGGACUUGAGGGCAGAAGAGGGGGGUGGAAUUGCUGGUGUAGUGGUGGAAUGCGUAGAUAUCAGCAGGAACACCUGUGGCGAAAGCGGCCCCCUGGUCUGCUCCUGACACUCAGACGCGAAAGCUAGGGGAGUGAACGGGAUUAGAUACCCCCGUAGUCC
rnacentral:rRNA from 1 species